AUUGAACGCUGGCGGCAGGCCUAACACAUGCAAGUCGAACGAGUGGCGGACGGGUGAGUAAUGUCUGGGAAACUGCCUGAUGGAGGGGGAUAACUACUGGACACGGUAGCUAAUACCGCAUACCAUCGGAUGUGCCCAGAUGGGAUUAGCUAGUAGGUGGGGUAAAGGCUCACCUGGGCGACGAUCCCUAGCUGGUCUGAGCGGAUGACCAGCCACACUGGAACUGAGACACGGUCGAGACUCCUACGGGAGGCAGCAGUGGGGAAUAUUGCCCAUUGGGGGAAAGCCUGAUGCAGCCAUGCCGCGUGUAUGAAGAAGGCCUUCGGUUUUUAAAGUACUUUCAGCGGGGAGGCGUUACUCGCAGAAGAAGCACCGGCUAACUCCGUGCCAGCAGCCGCGGUAAUAC
rnacentral:rRNA from 1 species